rnacentral:rRNA from 1 species
GAGGCAAGACCGCGAGGUGGAGCAAAUCUCAAAAAGCCGUCCCAGUUCGGAUCGCAGGCUGCAACCCGCCUGCGUGAAGUUGGAAUCGCUAGUAAUCGCGGANCAGCAUGCCGCGGUGAAUACGUUCCCGGGCCUUGUACACACCGCCCGUCACACCAUGAGAGUCGGGAACACCCGAAGUCCGUAGCCUAACCGCAAGGGGGGGCGCGGCCGAAGGUGGGUUCGAUAAUUGGGGGUGAAGUCGUAACAAGGUAUC